rnacentral:lncRNA from 1 species
AAAGUAUCCAGUGGCUGCACAGAUUCCUAAGAGUUUAAGGUAAAAACAAAGUAGGUUUUCUGAUUUGUUCCUGUUAUUUAAUCUAGUGAGUGUCUUCUGUGAAAUACGUAAUCAUUUCUGGGAUCAGGAGCUAUAAGAUAAGUCUCCCCACACUCUCUGCCCUGUGACUCUGGCUCUCCUCACCCACUCACCUUCUCACCGAAUGGCUUUAUCUUCCUGGCUGCAGAGUGUUUCACCUUCUAGAUGAUGUGAAAUCAUUUCUAUUUCACCUUGCAACACCUGCAGCCCAAGCUGGGAACUGGAGAUCCACAUCCUGCACACCUCCCCCGUAACAGCAACAACAUCCACUGAAAUGUGACAUCUUUAUUCCAUGGGAGCAUUCUGGAUGUUGCACUGAAGAGUGCUUUGUUGCUGAAGUGGCAGGCUAGAAGUUGUUCCUGAAACAGAUCUUACCCUUCAUCAGACUAUUUCUGUGUUCUGAAUAUCCAGUGGUACCAAUUAAUGCUUGCAGAUUAUUAAUUAAUGAAGCAGCCUGGGAGGAUUUAUGAUGAAAGACUCUCUGGGCAUUAAGGCGGCUGUUCUGGACACCCUGGAUCCUCCGAGUAGGAUUGACAUCUGCAAGAACAAGGAAAAGCCAAGGGAAAGCCUGACAUGGAGGGAGACAGCCCUCAUAUGUAACCUGGGAGCUCUCCCUGCGCUGCAGCCAAGAGAUUGUGCCUCACGUGUGUGCACUGCAGAAGCAGCCAGCCUCAGUGUGACUGAGGAGAAUGGGCAAUAGCAGAAAAGCCUGGUUUUCCUGGGUCCUGGAAUAAGGAAAAUAAAAUACAACCAGUUUCUUUCCCUGACA